rnacentral:rRNA from 1 species
UACGUAGGGACCGAGCGUUGUUCGGAUUUACUGGGCGUAAAGGGAGCGUAGGCGGCAAUUCAAGUCAUCUGUGAAAUCUCCGGGCUUAACCCGGAACGGUCAGAUGAUACUGCUUUGCUAGAGUGCGGAAGGGGCAAUCGGAAUUCUUGGUGUAGCGGUGAAAUGCGUAGAUAUCAAGAGGAACACCUGAGGUGAAGACGGGUUGCUGGGCCGACACUGACGCUGACAGCGCGAAAGCCAGGGGAGCAAACGGG